UACGAAGGGUGCAAACGUUGCUCGGAAUUAUUGGGCGUAAAGCGCACGUAGGCGGCAUUGCAAGUCGGAUGUGAAAUCCCUCGGCUUAACCAAGGAAGUGCAUCCGAAACUGCAGUGCUUGAGUACUUAAGAGGAUCGCGGAAUUCCCGGUGUAGAGGUGAAAUUCGUAGAUAUCGUGAGGAACACCAGAGGCGAAGGCGGCUACCUGGACAAUUGCUGACGCUCAGGCACGAAAGCGUGGGGAGCAAAAGGG
rnacentral:rRNA from 1 species